rnacentral:rRNA from 1 species
GCCUAAUACAUGCAAGUCGAGCGCAGGAAGCAGGCAGAUCCCCUUCGGGGGUGAUGCCUGUGGAAUGAGCGGCGGACGGGUGAGUAACACGUGGGCAACCUGCCUGUAAGAUCGGAAUAACUCCGGGAAACCGGGGCUAAUGCCGGGUAAUCCUUUUUUUCGCAUGAGAGAGAGGUAAAAGAUGGCCUUUGGCUAUCACUUACAGAUGGGCCCGCGGCGCAUUAGCUAGUUGGUGAGGUAAUAGCUCACCAAGGCGACGAUGCGUAGCCGACCUGAGAGGGUGAUCGGCCACACUGGGACUGAGACACGGCCCAGACUCCUACGGGAGGCAGCAGUAGGGAAUCUUCCGCAAUGGACGAAAGUCUGACGGAGCAACGCCGCGUGAACGAUGAAGGUCUUCGGAUCGUAAAGUUCUGUUGUUAGGGAAGAACAAGUACCGUGCGAAUAGAGCGGUACCUUGACGGUACCUAACGAGGAAGCCCCGGCUAACUACGUGCCAGCAGCCGCGGUAAUACGUAGGGGGCAAGCGUUGUCCGGAAUUAUUGGGCGUAAAGCGCGCGCAGGCGGUUUCUUAAGUCUGAUGUGAAAGCCCACGGCUCAACCGUGGAGGGUCAUUGGAAACUGGGGAACUUGAGGACAGAAGAGGAGAGUGGAAUUCCACGUGUAGCGGUGAAAUGCGUAGAUAUGUGGAGGAACACCAGUGGCGAAGGCGACUCUCUGGUCUGUUUCUGACGCUGAGGUGCGAAAGCGUGGGUAGCAAACAGGAUUAGAUACCCUGGUAGUCCACGCCGUAAACGAUG